AUUGAACGCUGGCGGCAGGCCUAACACAUGCAAGUCGAGCGGAUGAAGGGAGCUUGCUCCUGGAUUCAGCGGCGGACGGGUGAGUAAUGCCUAGGAAUCUGCCUGGUAGUGGGGGAUAACGUCCGGAAACGGGCGCUAAUACCGCAUACGUCCUGAGGGAGAAAGUGGGGGAUCUUCGGACCUCACGCUAUCAGAUGAGCCUAGGCCGGAUUAGCUAGUUGGUGGGGUAAAGGCCUACCAAGGCGACGAUCCGUAACUGGUCUGAGAGGAUGAUCAGUCAAACUGGAACUGAGACACGGUCCAGACUCCUACGGGAGGCAGCAGUGGGGAAUAUUGGACAAUGGGCGAAAGCCUGAUCCAGCCAUGCCGCGUGUGUGAAGAAGGUCUUCGGAUUGUAAAGCACUUUAAGUUGGGAGGAAGGGCAGUAAGUUAAUACCUUGCUGUUUUGACGUUACCAACAGAAUAAGCACCGGCUAACUUCGUG
rnacentral:rRNA from 1 species